rnacentral:rRNA from 1 species
AGUGAACGCUGGCGGUAGGCCUAACACAUGCAAGUCGAACGGCAGCACAGUAAGAGCUUGCUCUUACGGGUGGCGAGUGGCGGACGGGUGAGGAAUACAUCGGAAUCUACUUUUUCGUGGGGGAUAACGUAGGGAAACUUACGCUAAUACCGCAUACGACCUACGGGUGAAAGCAGGGGAUCUUCGGACCUUGCGCGAUUGAAUGAGCCGAUGUCGGAUUAGCUAGUUGGCGGGGUAAAGGCCCACCAAGGCGACGAUCCGUAGCUGGUCUGAGAGGAUGAUCAGCCACACUGGAACUGAGACACGGUCCAGACUCCUACGGGAGGCAGCAGUGGGGAAUAUUGGACAAUGGGCGCAAGCCUGAUCCAGCCAUACCGCGUGGGUGAAGAAGGCCUUCGGGCUGUAAAGCCCUUUUGUUGGGAAAGAAAAGCAGCAGGUUAAGACCCCGCUGUUCUGACGGUACCCAAAGAAUAAGCACCGGCUAACUUCGU